rnacentral:tRNA from 1 species
GCCGCUGUGGCGAAAUCGGCAGACGCAGCGGACUUAAAAUCCGCCGGAUCUUAACAAUCCGUACCGGUUCAAGUCCGGUCAGCGGCA